rnacentral:tRNA from 1 species
GGAGGGAUGGCUGAGUGGUCGAAAGCGCACGACUCGAAAUCGUGUAGGCCUCCGGGUCUCGAGGGUUCGAAUCCCUCUCCCUCCGCCA